GUCACAAACUCGUGACGUCCCCGCGUGACCUCACCGCUGCGGGGCGAUGGAGCGAAAAGUGAGGAAACUGAAGUCCCGGGAGAGACAGUGGCAAGGUCAAGUAGCAAAGUGCACUCAGCCCUCCCAGCAAGGAGUCUGCCACUCGCGCUUGAAGGACGUGUUUGAAGAGCUGCUUUCCCAGUGGGAUGCUGCCUUAAAGUCUUGAUUCCCUGGCACUCUUUCCUAUUACUACAUUUUAUCGGUGCUGUUUGUGUUAUGCAACGGUAGCAUCGUGUCUCCGGAAGAUAAAAAAGGUCUCGAUACAAACAUCCAUAACCUUCCACCCACUCCGUCAGGAACAACCCAAUCAAAAUAAAGUCAUGAGAAUUUAG
ensembl:lncRNA ILRUN-AS1 ILRUN antisense RNA 1